GCCCCGGCCACCGCCGCCGGGACUGGCUGCCGCCGCUUCUCCUUCGCCGCCUCCAUGGGCUCCCUCGCGGGUGGCGCAGGCAGGGUUAGACAGCGCUCUGGUGAUAAACCUGACGGCCAGACUCCACUAGCACUCAAGCCAAUACAACCACCGAGGGUUGCUACAUCACAGGGAAUUACAGAAUAUGAAGACAUGGAGGAUACAAGCUUUUUAAAGCAUCCACCAAAGAGAAAAAGACUCUCCGCAAACUUUGAAAAAUGGGUUAUUUAUCAAGGAAAUCAAACGGAUGCAAAACUGGCAAAAGUCACCAGUGCUGGGUAGGAUUCUGUGAUGCUGGCAGCAGGAGCCCUGAGAGAUUAUAUUGGUGGCUACUGGAUGAGUCUCCUAGUAGAGAUGAUGUGCCACCAGUACUCCAUCACAGGGGUUGCUUUCAGAAAUACACAAGCUAGGUGAGUUUGGCACCUGUCAGAGUUGUAGUGAAUUCAUCCAGAAAGGAAAACAACCUCUAAAUCUAAUCAGAGAGCAUGAGAUUCACCUGCUCUGUAGCCACCUGAGCAAGCAUGUCCUCCGGUGAUUGGUCUUGUUGCAUUGUUUGCCUGAGAACACACAAAGAAAUCAAGAAACUUCAUAAAACAGAAACAUCUGAGAAAGCAACCAAUCUGAGGGAGGCAGCAUGUCCAGAAGAUGAUGACACGUGGCACAGAAUAUCUGUGGAAGACUUGAUUGCUAAGGAUGCCGUUUAUCACUCGACACGCCUUUCUUCCUACUUGAGUCCAACAAACCUGAAUGCAAAACCAGCUAGUUACACUGCAACAAUACGGUCACCUUAUGACCUUGAAUUUUAUCAGCUGAUUGAAGAAAUAGACAAUGAUCUUAGGUACAACAAGAAGGCUCUUCUCCUGUCCAAGCUGCUACAAAGAUAUGAAGAGCUGCUUCCCUCAGAUGUACAAAUGGCAAGCUAUUCCAGCAGCAAAUUACAGACAUGAUUUAGCAAAACACUAUGGUUCUUCAAUUUCAUUCCAUGCACAGCAUGGACAAGGCAAAUCUACCAUGUUCUAUGCAGCACAAUAAUAUUAGCUGAUGCUAUCCAAGCUGCUAGUAAUCUGAAGCAGGAAUAGAGACAUCCAAGUGUUUUGUGAAUGUUCUUCUAGCGAGUGAGCCUGAUGAACAGCUUUCAAAUGAACAAUGCACUGCGAUGGUCAAAAGAGCUAACUGAUGUGACAUUCCGGCAUCCCAAUAUUCACCACUGUCAUGUCAUUAGCAUGUUUUGUACAAAGUAUGCCCUGUGAGGUAUCAUUCUAAAAGUCUUGAUCUGCUAGACAUUAAUAUCUCGUUGGAUUUUAUGUGCUACUGUCAUAUGUGAAGUUAGGCUAUGUCUGUGUCACUGAAACGUGUUGUGAGACUGAAAACACCCACAAGCAGCCUUUUAGGUAAGACAGUAAAAAGGCCAAACAAUGUAAAUGGCUUAUUGAGGAGAGGCACACAAGCACAAGGAUUACCCCAGGAACUGUGAACAAUAGAAACCUCUCAGAAACAGCACUACACAAUGGGAACUGUUUGACCCAGGUCACAGCA